UCCCUAUCAUUAAAAUAACUUACUUUAUAUAAACAUAUUUAACUACCCAAUUAAUUUCAAACCACAUUUUUUUUUUUGUAAUUAUCUCACGAGAAUUCACACUUGAAUUAUUGGAUUAUUUCCUAACCCAAAGUACAUAUUGUUCCUUAACUCUCAAAGUGACUCAAACCACCAACACCAUCACUAGUUUCCUCUCUCCUUCUCAUUUCUCACAAACACUUCCCUUCCCACCACCAAUUUUCUCUCUCCUCCCUCCCACCACAACUUCUCAUCUCCUUCAAUUUUCACAACAGAAAAGGUGAAGAAUUAUUUCACCACCUCACACAAGUCGACGUCGCGCAGCCACCAUUCGAAAGCUGCACCAUCAUCUCUGUUGCCCUCUUGAUAAACCGCGCCAUCAGCACACACCUCCAAUUGGACCAUGCUAAUCUAUCUUAUCAGAUGUCUCCGAAGAUAUGGGUCUACUUUUGAAAGUUCUAGUUUUCCAGGUUUGAUAGCUUGAUUGUCAAUUUUCCAUGUAUUUGUUAUCUCAAUCUUUCGGAAAUUAUUGUCAAUAAGAUAGUGUAAGUAAGUCAAAAAUAGUAUAAUAAUGAAAUCUAACAAAAUCACAACUAACUUUUUUACUUAGGUGGUAUCAUCUGUUUUAGUUUGAUAUUCCCUUAUGUAGUAAGUUUAUACUUGUUGCACAUGGAGGCUUUUAUAUUCCUUUAUUGAUAUGAUUGAAGUGAGGAGGGUAGGUAUUAUGGGACUUUGCUUUACCUUACUUCAGUAUCUUUGGUCUUGAGUAUUUGUUUUGAAAUGUCGCAUGUAUUAGAAAUUAUUUGGGUUGCUGUUAUGAUUUUGGCAAGACUUGAUCUGGAGGUAUAUAUUAGGCAGUAUGAUUCGCCCCACCGUCGCACAAACCACCUUGGUACUUUAAUAUAAGGAAGCAAGGAAAAUAAAUCACCAGUAGAGCAAAUAGUGAUUUACUUUCUUUCUUAAUUUAAACAUGAUCAAGAUCACUUUGAGUUAGCUGAAUGGUAAUCUUAAUUACAGUAGUUGUUUUUCUGUGCCCAAUUCUCUGUAGUAAAUUGAAUUUCAUUUAUCCUUUCCAUUAUCUGUUUGUUGGCAGCUCAAAAUUAUGCUUUCAUUGUGGUGGAGCCUUAUUGCUCUUUUGUACUUUGCCUUCCCUAUCCCUUUUCUCAUUAGCGAUCCGCAAACACUGAUCGCACUGAAAUCUUAAGUAGGUGAAGUAGUUGUAACUUUUUUCAAAAGCAACACACAAAUAGUUGAAUACUAGUUCUAGCUCAAAUGACACUAUCAAUGUAUGAUCCAAUAGUUCAAAUUACACUAUUAGGUAUGCGAUUGCUUAUAUAGUUACUUGACUUGCUUAAGUAACUCUGAUUCUGUUUGUUGGAGUAUGGAUGUUGUGUAUCAGAUUUUAUAGUGAAGUGUCACUCUCUUGCAAACUGUGAUUGAUUUCAGGUAUCAAUUAUUCAUGGAAUCUGAGAUCUUUAAUACGGAGUAUGUCAAUUUUAGCUUUUUUUUUUAUCCAUUUGCCUUGCACUCCUUAGAAAUUAGAAUAGGCAACUUGACAUAGCUGAGCUGCAAUCUACUAGUCAAAUUUGAAUGUGUUUUUUUUAUUCUGGUGCUCUGAAAAUGGCCUUUAUAACAGGGUUGUGUUUCUAUUCUUAACAACAGAGGUUAUUUUAUUUUGUUGCAAUAUUAAUGGUGGAUGCUCGACAACUUCGAUAUGCACAAGCAAACCCUAGAAAGAAGUGGUAUAUAUGGAGUUAUUUAGUAAUUGAUUUACUUCCUUUUUAGGCCGUUUUGAAAUAGUUAUAAAAUGGUUCCAGGGUUUUCUACUCACUCAAUUCUACUAUGAUGACUGAUGAGAUGCAGGGAAACAAAUUUACACAUCAUAUAUCCCUCUAACUAGGGUCUACUCAGUCACUUGAGGUUUUUAUCAGGCUUCCUACGGGUUAUGUUACCGCCCUCCUAUUGCCGAUAGUGCUGUCCAUGCUACUUCACAUUCUGCUCUAUUGGGUUGCUGCUGCUCAUACAUUUUGCCUUGCUAGAGAAUCUGUUGUUGUUGCUAGUUUGGCUCUGCUGGAUCUACUACUCGUUGAUGUGAUUCCUUUUUCUUUUUUAAUUUUUUUAUUGCCAGUGUAAAGUUACAAGUUAUUUUAGGUAUACUAUAGUUUCUUUGUAUGGAACCAUGAUAUUAUAUCAAUUCAAAUUAUUAUCUAUCAUAUUUGUUGAUUUCACAUA